AAGCUGGAUUCGCUAGUAAUCGCGCAUCAGCCACGGCGCGGUGAAUACGUUCCCGGGCCUUGUACACACCGCCCGUCAAGCCAUGGAAGCCGGGGGUGCCUGAAGUGCGCUGCCGCAAGGAGCGUCCUAGGGUAAAACCGGUGACUGGGGCUAAGUCGUAACAAGGUAUC
rnacentral:rRNA from 1 species